rnacentral:rRNA from 1 species
UACGUAGGGGGCAAGCGUUGUCCGGAAUCAUUGGGCGUAAAGAGCGCGUAGGCGGCCCUGUAAGUCCGCUGUGAAAGUCAAGGGCUCAACCCUUGAAUGCCGGUGGAUACUGCAGGGCUAGAGUCCGGAAGAGGCGAGUGGAAUUCCUGGUGUAGCGGUGAAAUGCGCAGAUAUCAGGAGGAACACCCAGGGGGGAAACUAGUCGACUGGGCAUCUACUGACGCUGAGGUGCGAGAGCGUGGGGAGCGAACAGG